UACAGAGGUCUCAAGCGUUGUUCGGAUUCAUUGGGCGUAAAGGGAGCGUAGGCGGUCGGGUAAGUCGGAUGUGAAAUCCUGGGGCUCAACCUCAGAACUGCAUUCGAUACUGCUUGGCUAGAGGACUGGAGAGGUGAGUGGAAUUCACGGUGUAGCAGUGAAAUGCGUAGAUAUCGUGAGGAAGACCAGCGGCGAAGGCGGCUCACUGGACAGUUUCUGACGCUGAUGCUCGAAGGCCAGGGGAGCAAACGGG
rnacentral:rRNA from 1 species